rnacentral:snoRNA from 1 species
GCCAAAACUAAAGUCAUACCCUGGUACAGCAUAUGUCUGGUGAGUUAUAGUUCUCAGAGAGGAUCUGCUGGUCUUGAUGCACUGACGGGGCAACCAAUGCCUGUGUUAGUGUUCAGGGCAGACAUGUGC